AUACAGAGGGUGCAAGCGUUAAUCGGAAUUACUGGGCGUAAAGCGUGCGUAGGUGGUUUGUUAAGUCAGAUGUGAAAGCCCCGGGCUCAACCUGGGAACUGCAUUUGAAACUGGCAUACUAGAGUAUAGGAGAGGAAAGUGGAAUUUCAGGUGUAGCGGUGAAAUGCGUAGAUAUCUGAAGGAACAUCAAUGGCGAAGGCAGCUUUCUGGACUAAUACUGACACUGAGGUACGAAAGCGUGGGUAGCAAACAGGAUUAGAAACCCUAGUAGUCC
rnacentral:rRNA from 1 species